CUGCGGCAGCUUACACAUGCAGUCGAGCGCACUCUUCGGAGUGAGCGGCGGACGGGUUAGUAACGCGUGGGAACGUGCCCUUCUCUAAGGAAUAGCCACUGGAAACGGUGAGUAAUACCUUAUACGCCCUUCGGGGGAAAGAUUUAUCGGAGAAGGAUCGGCCCGCGUUAGAUUAGAUAGUUGGUGGGGUAAUGGCCUACCAAGUCUACGAUCUAUAGCUGGUUUUAGAGGAUGAUCAGCAACACUGGGACUGAGACACGGCCCAGACUCCUACGGGAGGCAGCAGUGGGGAAUCUUGGACAAUGGGCGCAAGCCUGAUCCAGCCAUGCCGCGUGAGUGAUGAAGGCCUUAGGGUCGUAAAGCUCUUUCGCCAGAGAUGAUAAUGACAGUAUCUGGUAAAGAAACCCCGGCUAACUCCGUGCCAGCAGCCGCGGUAAUACGGAGGGGGUUAGCGUUGUUCGGAAUUACUGGGCGUAAAGCGCACGUAGGCGGAUCAGAAAGUAUAGGGUGAAAUCCCAGGGCUCAACCCUGGAACUGCCUUGUAAACUCCUGGUCUUGAGUUCGAGAGAGGUGAGUGGAAUUCCGAGUGUAGAGGUGAAAUUCGUAGAUAUUCGGAGGAACACCAGUGGCGAAGGCGGCUCACUGGCUCGAUACUGACGCUGAGGUGCGAAAGUGUGGGGAGCAAACAGGAUUAGAUACCCUGGUAGUCC
rnacentral:rRNA from 1 species